AGCGGUGCGUGCACACGCUGAGCUCAUUAAUGACUUGGGUGCGUCUAAUUGUUGCUGCGUGUUUGAAUCGGUCACGCUGUCAUUUGUGUCCUCAAUACCGGCCAGCACACUCCUGUCACGGCUCUAGUUGUGCGUGCGUGUGUUUGUGCGUGCGCGUCUUCUUCUCCCUCUAGCCUGUAAACCCCCCCCCCCCCCCCCCCAAACACACACACACACACACACACCAGUCCCACCUCCCCUUUGCCCAAACUACAGUAAAACCCAUUCAAACGAUUCUCCGCAGUGCUGGAAGAGCGGAGCGAAGAAGAGAGGCAGAGGAGGCAGGAGGAGAGAGAGGAGGAGAACAGAGGAGCAAGCACGGUGCGUGUGCGUGGAGAGGGAGCGAGGGAGGGAGCUGGGGGUUAGGGGAAAACUGCAAAUUUGGUGGCCAGUGUUCCCAGUGCACACAGAGCUCAGCAGCGUCCGAGCAGCUCUCUGCUCUGCAGGACACGUUCGGACUCCAACAUGUUAAUAAUGAAGCCCCAUUAGUCAGAGUAGAGCCGAGGCUUCUCCGGGUUCCUCCAGGAUUCCACCAGACAAGAGUUACGAAAAGAUCAUCAGGCAUCAGAACUAUGUUGGUACAGCAGGCUGAGACACAGGACAGAGGGCUGAGAUCACAGGUCAUCAUUGUCCAGACACGUCCUGCAUGUUCUCCACCGGUUCCUCAGCAGUAUUUCCAUGUGUGAUUUUUUAGGCCGGGGGUGCAGGUCAUGCUGGGGUGAUGAGUCCAGAUGUUUCCUGACCAGAGUCACUUACAGAGGUUCUCUUCAUUUGUAUGAAUCCAUCAGGAUUCUUAAUUGAGCUCUUUUUAUGGCUCCAGUUUUGUCUUAUUAACAGUUUCAUUAUUUACCUUUUUAAUUGUUCAUUGUGAAAAGAAGAUAAAACAUCUCUCUUCCUGCUGCCCGCUACUCAAAUUAACUGCCUAUUUUUGCGUUUGAAUAUAUAGACUUGAUUGAGUGUAAUUAUCACUCCUACACUGUCAGCUCUGUUUUAAUGCAAUAAUUAGCAACACACACACAUUUAUUAAUUCCUCCUUUGUUGAGGAUCCAUAAAAACCUUUAGGAGAUUUCAACAGUAUUGAUAAGCUGAGGACUGUUGUUUUCAGCUUCUUUCAUUGUAAUAAAGAAGCAAGGGCCAAAUCUAAAUUACAUUAUAUGGUUUUUGGUGACCUUUGACCUCCUUCUCCCCCCUGAAGGGUGACUCUCCUCCAGGGUUUAAAUAACAGCUGUUUGCUGCUGGACAUACACAUGGUGCACGAGGAGUCACUGAAAUACCCAACCUGAACAUCCUGUUAAAGUCCUACAGUGACUCAAAAUAAAAAGGGAAACCUUAAAUGUGAUAAAACCAGUGGUCAAUGUGGGAGCACAGACGCCAAAGCGUUGCCCAACGUGCUCUGCUCUUCUGCUGCACCGCUGUAAUGAGAUGGAAGAAAAACGCAGCCAAGGCGCCAUCUCGAAGCUGCAGCUGGUGAAAUUUUGGGGUCAGGCCUUCGUUUAUGGCCCGAGGGCAGCGUUAAAAAUCAAGGACUCAAAGUAGAGUCGUCCUCGUCAUGCAGAAACCAUGAAUAUUUAUUUAAAAAACAGCAAGUGGGGAUUUUAGUAGCUGAAAUCUAAUCAAACACUGCUGACGCACAUUAUUGUGAGGAGCCGGGACCAGUGUGACCAUGGAGUGUCCUGGAAAAUAUAUUAUCACCAUAAAAACAUGUGGAAGUAAGAAAUAAAGUUGGGGUGUGCAAACAAACUCAGCAGCAGGACACCACCC
ensembl:lncRNA